ACCCUGACUGGGUCCUUGUUAGUUAACCACAUACAGACAUUUAACAGUCAGUGAAUUUCAUAUCAAGUGAAAAGGCACAUGUCAGUGAAUUUCACAUCUAGUGAAGAAAACACACAUACAAAACCAUUUCCUGUAUACAU